rnacentral:rRNA from 1 species
GUCUCUCUAUCACACCCCACAACCCUUGUGAAUGUAUGGUUUAAUUUUAUUUUGGACUUGUUGCCUCGGUGGGCGGCUCCAGGGCGGAGCCGGUAAGCUCAUCGGUUUUUGAGUGCUCACCGUUGGCCCCCUAUAUGGAAAUGCUUUGUCUUUGAAUGAAUUUCUGACUGGUGGAAACGCCGGAAGAAUUAUACUAAAAACAAAUAAAACAAAACUUUCAACAACGGAUCUCUUGGCUCCGGCAACGAUGAAGAACGCAGCGAAUUGCGAUAAGUAAUGCGAAUCGCAGAACCUAGUGAGUCAUCGAGUUUUUGAACGCACAUUGCGCCUGUCAGUUUAUUCUGGCAGGCAUGCCUGUUCGAGCGUCGUCUUCCAUCCCCUCGGGCUUUUAUAUGUCUGGUGUUGGGACUCACCCUAGUCCCUCCUCUCCCGAAGCUCUAGAUGUCUUCUGGAGCGGCGGUAACUACUUGGGUGGUCCUGAAAAUGAGUGGCGGCUUCGUGAUAGCCUUUGAAUGUAGUAAUGCUCUUCGUUCAGAAAAGGCCAAACGCGACGUGCCAGCCUCGCUGACGUGUUUUUUCUUCUCUUCGGGGAAAAAAAAAAAAACAAAAAAAAAAAAAAGAUGUCGACCUCGUGUCAGGUAGGAUUACCCGCUGAACUUAAGCAUAUCAAUAAGCGGAGGACAAGAAACCAACAGGGAUUGCCCCAGUAACUGCGAGUGAAGCGGCAACAGCCCAGAUUUGAAAUCCGGCUCUCUUGCGAGAGUCUGAGUUGUAAUCUGUAGAGGAUGUCGCUGGCCAACAGCUGCUUCGAAGUCCCUUGGAACGGGGCGCCAUAGAGGGUGAGAGCCCCGUACGGUGUAGGCUGGAUGGUCAUGAUGCGACUCCUUCGGCGAGUCGAGUAGUUUGGGAAUGCUGCUCUAAACGGGAGGUAAAUUCCUUCCAAGGCUAAAUAUCGGCCGGAGACCGAUAGCGCACAAGUAGAGUGAUCGAAAGAUGAAAAGUACUUUGAAAAGAGGGUUAAACAGUACGUGAAAUUGUUGAAAGGGAAGCGCCCGCGACUAGACUUGUACCUGACUGUUCGUUCUACGCUCGUCGUAGGAUCUUCUCGGUCAUGGUUGCAGGCCAGCAUCGGUUUGUGCUGGGGGAUAAGAGCAGUGGGAACGUGGCUCAUCUCCGGAUGAGUGUUAAUAGCCCGUUGUACGAUACCCUGGCGCAGAUCGAGGAACGCGUCACUGACACGGAUGCUGGCAUAAUGGUCGUUGACGACCCGUCUUGAAACACGGACCAAGGAGUCGAGGUUUUCCGCGAGUGUGUGGGUGGUAGACCCGCCCGCGAAAUGAAAGUGAACGUAGGUGAGAGCCCUUCCCAGGGCGCAUCAUCGACCGAUCCCAAUGUUCUCGGAGGGAAUCGAGUAUGAGCGGAAGGCCUCGGACCCGAAAGAUGACGAACUAUGCCUGCAUAGAAUGAAGCCAGAGGAAACUCUGGUGGAGGUUCGCAGCGGUUCUGACGUGCAAAUCGAUCGUCAAAUGUGGGCAUGGGGGCGAAAGACUAAUCGAGUC